rnacentral:sRNA from 1 species
AUGCUUUCAUACUAGCACUAAUGCACCGGAUCCCAUCAGAACUCCGCAGUUAAGCGUGCUUGGGCGAGAGUAGUACGAGGAUGGGUGACCUUGAG